rnacentral:rRNA from 1 species
UACGUAGGGGCGAGCGUUGUCCGAAGUUACUGGGCGUAAAGCGCGCGUAGGCGGGUUGGCAAGUCUGCUGUGAAAGCCCGGGGCUUAACUCCGGAGGGUCGGUGGAUACUGCCAGUCUUGAAGGUGCUAGGGAGAGAUGGAAUUACCGGUGUAGCGGUGAAAUGCGUAGAUAUCGGUAGGAACACCAGUGGCGAAGGCGGUCUCUUGGGGCAUUCUUGACGCUGAGGCGCGAAAGCUGGGGGAGCGAACGGG